GACGAACGCUGGCGGCGUGCCUAAUACAUGCAAGUCGAACGCAGUGGGGACGGGUGAGUAACACGUGGGUAACCUACCAUCAGAGGGGAUAACACUUGGAAACAGGUGCUAAACCGAUACUGAUGGAUGGACCUGCGGUGUAUUAGCUAGUGGGGGGGGUAACGGCUCACCAAGGCCACGAUGCAUAGCAGGCCGGAGAGGAUGAUAAGACAAACUGGAACUGAGGCACGGGCCAGAGUACUACGGGAGGCAGCAGUAGGGAAGAGGCGGGAAUGGACGAAAGUCUGACCGAGCAACGCCGAGUGGAUGAAGAAGGUUUUAGGAUAGUAAAACUCUGUUGUUAGAGAAGCGGUAUCUAACCAAGAAGCCACGGCUAACUACGUGCCAGCAGCCGCGGUAAUAC
rnacentral:rRNA from 1 species